AGUGAACGCUGGCGGUAGGCCUAACACAUGCAAGUCGAACGGCAGCACAGGAGAGCUUGCUCUCUGGGUGGCGAGUGGCGGACGGGUGAGGAAUACAUCGGAAUCUGCCCAGUCGUGGGGGAUAACGUAGGGAAACUUACGCUAAUACCGCAUACGACCUUCGGGUGAAAGAGGGGGAUCGCAAGACCUCUCGCGAUUGGAUGAGCCGAUGUCGGAUUAGCUAGUUGGCGGGGUAAUGGCCCACCAAGGCGACGAUCCGUAGCUGGUCUGAGAGGAUGAUCAGCCACACUGGAACUGAGACACGGUCCAGACUCCUACGGGAGGCAGCAGUGGGGAAUAUUGGACAAUGGGCGCAAGCCUGAUCCAGCCAUACCGCGUGGGUGAAGAAGGCCUUCGGGUUGUAAAGCCCUUUUGUUGGGAAAGAAAUCUUUCAGGCUAAUACCCUGGGAGGAUGACGGUACCCAAAGAAUAAGCACCGACUAACUUCGUG
rnacentral:rRNA from 1 species